rnacentral:rRNA from 1 species
CGCGCAGGCGGGUUUGUCAGUCAGGGUGAAAUCCUACAGCUUAACUGUAGAACUGCCUUUGAUACUGCAAACCUUGAGUUCGGAAGAGAGAGGCGGAAUUCCAGGUGUAGUGGUGAAAUACGUAGAUAUCUGGAAGAACACCAGAGGCGAAGGCGGUCUCUUGGUCCGUAACUGACGCUGAGGCGCGAAAGCGUGGGGAGCAAACA